CCGAGUUUACAACUCCCAAACCCCAAUGUGAACGUUACCAAACUGUUGCCUCGGCGGGAUUUCUGCCCCGGGCGCGUCGCAGCCCCGGACCAAGGCGCCCGCCGGAGGACCAAUUUACAAACUCUUUUGUAUAUCCCAUCGCGGAUUCUUUACAUUCUGAGCUUUCUCGGCGCUCCUAGCGAGCGUUUCGAAAAUGAAUCA
rnacentral:misc_RNA from 1 species